UCUCACCGUGUAAAGAAGGAAAAGUGAAAUAUUCUGUAAUCUAAAUGUAAAUGGAAGUUAAAUUUACCGAUGGGUUCUCUGCAAAUGCCGGUUCCACAAUUUUUCAGGUGGUGUGUUUGUGUAAGGGGGGAUGGUUCCAUUGUGACUCAACCACCAAAAAGAUCAAAUAAACCUGCAAACUCCACUGUGGAAGGCCAGAGCUAAGAUUUGAACUCCUAACCUCAGAAAUGUGAGGUACAACGGCUGUGUGAAGAAUCCAAACGCAGCAAACCAGACCUCACGAAUAGUUGGUAAUGACUUUUAAUAUCAACUUCGACAGGUGCAGAUUCAAAGUUCAGAUAAAGAGUUUCUGCAGGCUUAGGAGGUGUUCGGGAGAGCUGGACAGCAGAAUACCAAACAGCAAUGGGGACAAGCAGACAGAUAGCAGGAAGUGCUAAAGCAGAACUUGUGGUCAGAGAUGGAACGCUCAG